rnacentral:misc_RNA from 1 species
UAUUGUACGGAACAUCAUCUUCAGCUAGUUUUAUUCAGAGUGCGAGGAAAGUAGGCUCUAAUAACGAAGUCAAUCCUGAAAAUCAUUCUACAUGGAAUGAUCUUUCUGAGUUCUAUGCCUGUGAAGUUCACAAUGUCAAGUCUUAUGAUGGUAUUAUUGUUCCUUUGACUGUUGUCUAUUCUCCAAAGAGGAAAAAGCAAGCUGAGAAUCCCG